rnacentral:rRNA from 1 species
AUGAACGCUGGCGGCAUGCCUAACACAUGCAAGUCGAACGGUGCCUUCGGGCAUAGUGGCGCACGGGUGCGUAACGCGUGGGAAUCUACCCUUGGGUUCGGAAUAACUCAGAGAAAUUUGAGCUAAUACCGGAUGAUGACGAAAGUCCAAAGAUUUAUCGCCCAGGGAUGAGCCCGCGUAGGAUUAGCUUGUUGGUGAGGUAAAAGCUCACCAAGGCGACGAUCCUUAGCUGGUCUGAGAGGAUGAUCAGCCACACUGGGACUGAGACACGGCCCAGACUCCUACGGGAGGCAGCAGUGGGGAAUAUUGGACAAUGGGCGAAAGCCUGAUCCAGCAAUGCCGCGUGAGUGAUGAAGGCCUUAGGGUUGUAAAGCUCUUUUACCCGGGAAGAUAAUGACUGUACCGGGAGAAUAAGCCCCGGCUAACUCCGU